rnacentral:rRNA from 1 species
UACAGAGGGUGCAAGCGUUAAUCGGAAUUACUGGGCGUAAAGCGCGUGUAGGCGGCCCUGCAAGUCGGAUGUGAAAUCCCACGGCUCAACCGUGGAAGUGCAUUCGAAACUGCAGGGCUAGAGUCCUGGAGAGGAAGGUGGAAUGCUUGGUGUAGAGGUGAAAUUCGUAGAUAUCAAGCGGAACACCGGUGGCGAAGGCGGCCUUCUGGACAGUGACUGACGCUGAGACGCGAAAGCGUGGGGAGCAAACAGG